GGGUUGUGAGGUUAAGCGACUAAGCGUACACGGUGGAUGCCCUGGCAGUCAGAGGCGAUGAAGGACGUGCUAAUCUGCGAUAAGCGUCGGUAAGGUGAUAUGAACCGUUAUAACCGGCGAUUUCCGAAUGGGGAAACCCAGUGUGAUUCGUCACACUAUCAUUAACUGAAUCCAUAGGUUAAUGAGGCGAACCGGGGGAACUGAAACAUCUAAGUACCCCGAGGAAAAGAAAUCAACCGAGAUUCCCCCAGUAGCGGCGAGCGAACGGGGAGCAGCCCAGAGCCUGAAUCAGUGUGUGUGUUAGUGGAAGCGUCUGGAAAGGCGCGCGAUACAGGGUGACAGCCCCGUACACAAAAAUGCACAUGCUGUGAGCUCGAUGAGUAGGGCGGGACACGUGGUAUCCUGUCUGAAUAUGGGGGGACCAUCCUCCAAGGCUAAAUACUCCUGACUGACCGAUAGUGAACCAGUACCGUGAGGGAAAGGCGAAAAGAACCCCGGCGAGGGGAGUGAAAAAGAACCUGAAACCGUGUACGUACAAGCAGUGGGAGCACGCUUAGGCGUGUGACUGCGUACCUUUUGUAUAAUGGGUCAGCGACUUAUAUUCUGUAGCAAGGUUAACCGAAUAGGGGAGCCGAAGGGAAACCGAGUCUUAACUGGGCGUUAAGUUGCAGGGUAUAGACCCGAAACCCGGUGAUCUAGCCAUGGGCAGGUUGAAGGUUGGGUAACACUAACUGGAGGACCGAACCGACUAAUGUUGAAAAAUUAGCGGAUGACUUGUGGCUGGGGGUGAAAGGCCAAUCAAACCGGGAGAUAGCUGGUUCUCCCCGAAAGCUAUUUAGGUAGCGCCUCGUGAAUUCAUCUCCGGGGGUAGAGCACUGUUUCGGCAAGGGGGUCAUCCCGACUUACCAACCCGAUGCAAACUGCGAAUACCGGAGAAUGUUAUCACGGGAGACACACGGCGGGUGCUAACGUCCGUCGUGAAGAGGGAAACAACCCAGACCGCCAGCUAAGGUCCCAAAGUCAUGGUUAAGUGGGAAACGAUGUGGGAAGGCCCAGACAGCCAGGAUGUUGGCUUAGAAGCAGCCAUCAUUUAAAGAAAGCGUAAUAGCUCACUGGUCGAGUCGGCCUGCGCGGAAGAUGUAACGGGGCUAAACCAUGCACCGAAGCUGCGGCAGCGACGCUUAUGCGUUGUUGGGUAGGGGAGCGUUCUGUAAGCCUGUGAAGGUGUGCUGUGAGGCAUGCUGGAGGUAUCAGAAGUGCGAAUGCUGACAUAAGUAACGAUAAAGCGGGUGAAAAGCCCGCUCGCCGGAAGACCAAGGGUUCCUGUCCAACGUUAAUCGGGGCAGGGUGAGUCGACCCCUAAGGCGAGGCCGAAAGGCGUAGUCGAUGGGAAACAGGUUAAUAUUCCUGUACUUGGUGUUACUGCGAAGGGGGGACGGAGAAGGCUAUGUUGGCCGGGCGACGGUUGUCCCGGUUUAAGCGUGUAGGCUGGUUUUCCAGGCAAAUCCGGAAAAUCAAGGCUGAGGCGUGAUGACGAGGCACUACGGUGCUGAAGCAACAAAUGCCCUGCUUCCAGGAAAAGCCUCUAAGCAUCAGGUAACAUCAAAUCGUACCCCAAACCGACACAGGUGGUCAGGUAGAGAAUACCAAGGCGCUUGAGAGAACUCGGGUGAAGGAACUAGGCAAAAUGGUGCCGUAACUUCGGGAGAAGGCACGCUGAUAUGUAGGUGAAGUCCCUCGCGGAUGGAGCUGAAAUCAGUCGAAGAUACCAGCUGGCUGCAACUGUUUAUUAAAAACACAGCACUGUGCAAACACGAAAGUGGACGUAUACGGUGUGACGCCUGCCCGGUGCCGGAAGGUUAAUUGAUGGGGUUAGCGCAAGCGAAGCUCUUGAUCGAAGCCCCGGUAAACGGCGGCCGUAACUAUAACGGUCCUAAGGUAGCGAAAUUCCUUGUCGGGUAAGUUCCGACCUGCACGAAUGGCGUAAUGAUGGCCAGGCUGUCUCCACCCGAGACUCAGUGAAAUUGAACUCGCUGUGAAGAUGCAGUGUACCCGCGGCAAGACGGAAAGACCCCGUGAACCUUUACUAUAGCUUGACACUGAACAUUGAGCCUUGAUGUGUAGGAUAGGUGGGAGGCUUUGAAGUGUGGACGCCAGUCUGCAUGGAGCCGACCUUGAAAUACCACCCUUUAAUGUUUGAUGUUCUAACGUUGACCCGUAAUCCGGGUUGCGGACAGUGUCUGGUGGGUAGUUUGACUGGGGCGGUCUCCUCCUAAAGAGUAACGGAGGAGCACGAAGGUUGGCUAAUCCUGGUCGGACAUCAGGAGGUUAGUGCAAUGGCAUAAGCCAGCUUGACUGCGAGCGUGACGGCGCGAGCAGGUGCGAAAGCAGGUCAUAGUGAUCCGGUGGUUCUGAAUGGAAGGGCCAUCGCUCAACGGAUAAAAGGUACUCCGGGGAUAACAGGCUGAUACCGCCCAAGAGUUCAUAUCGACGGCGGUGUUUGGCACCUCGAUGUCGGCUCAUCACAUCCUGGGGCUGAAGUAGGUCCCAAGGGUAUGGCUGUUCGCCAUUUAAAGUGGUACGCGAGCUGGGUUUAGAACGUCGUGAGACAGUUCGGUCCCUAUCUGCCGUGGGCGCUGGAGAACUGAGGGGGGCUGCUCCUAGUACGAGAGGACCGGAGUGGACGCAUCACUGGUGUUCGGGUUGUCAUGCCAAUGGCACUGCCCGGUAGCUAAAUGCGGAAGAGAUAAGUGCUGAAAGCAUCUAAGCACGAAACUUGCCCCGAGAUGAGUUCUCCCUGACUCCUUGAGAGUCCUGAAGGAACGUUGAAGACGACGACGUUGAUAGGCCGGGUGUGUAAGCGCAGCGAUGCGUUGAGCUAACCGGUACUAAUGAACCGUGAGGCUUAACCUUACAACGCCGAAG
rnacentral:rRNA from 1 species